CAUAACACUCGGCUUCUCCACGUUGAAGAAACAAUGCUAAACCAAUAGAAUUCCGCCACGUUCCAAUAAACAAAUCUUAACCGUUGAUCCUCCACGCUGGCAACAAUGACCAAGCGAAACAAUCAAUCAUAACAAUUCACUUCCCCGUAGUCAAAUCUACGCAAGAUUUACAACCUCGCAAUCCGAGUUUAACAUUUAACUGAUCAUUCCGCCGAAGGCGAAGCUAGUAGAAAAAAAGCCUAAAAGCGAACAAUGAGGAAGUGGGCGAUCCCUUUCUCUUUGAUUCUUCUUUGCCUUCUCUGUUUCCUCUCAGAUCAAGGGAGAAAAGUACAAGUAAAUGCUGAGGAAGGAGCCGUAGAUCCACCAAAAGAUGAGGAAAAGAUCGGCGCCGUGCCAAACGGCUUACAAACUGAUUCUGAUGUAGUUAAAAGGAUGAGGGUGUGAAGCAAACAGCUCAGCUUAUAUACCAGACAGCUCUAAUGGAGAGUGGCUUCAAUUUACCUGAUCCCAAGGAUUUUGCCUCACGUAUCUACAGCUCGGUAAAAUCUAGCCUAAAUAUCAGUGCUGAUGCUACAAUUGAGGAUGAUGAUGAUGAUGUAGAAGAGACUGAGUCCGAGACAAAAGAACGCACAGGCACGCCUAAGAGCGAAGCUGAACCUGCCAAAGAUGAUGCAGAUACAGAGUCUUCUGAUCUCAAGGAUGAAUUGUAGAUUAUCUGAAGCGUUAGGACAUGCUUUUUACAUCUGUAGUCUAUUCUCUCGACAGAACACGAGGAAACUGCAUGAUGCACUUUAAGUCUGAAACUUCGACAAAAGAAAACAUUAGUUGUUAAGAGUUAAUUAUACCAUAGUUUUCAGGAAUUUUGUCUUCAGUAUCUAAUUAAUGUUGAGGCAAUGAAAUUAAACUGUGCAUAUUUUCCGCUCUUCAAUGCAUGUCAUUGCUUUUCAGAUUUUCUCGGAUUGAUGAUGAUUCUCUCUCAUCAACUUUGUUUGAUGCCAACUGGGGCGAAAGCAUAGGCUCGACGCAGGGUCUGUGUAUUGUGAACCUAAAUUUCAAGGCCUCCCCCUUUGUUGGUAGUGAUACGGGCCUUCUCCGUAUAACUAUACGCCUUGCGGAAGAGGUAUGGGGACUUGCGAUGGAGUAUGUGGAAUGGUGGCCCCCCCAGCUAUCAGUAUAGGCCAUGCUGUAUGAGUUGUGGGCCAUGAAGCCCAAUGGGAAUUGGGUAGAAAUGCACUUUUUUCUGGGCCUAGACUAUGUAAGCUGGUCCAAAUUUCCACAAAGAAAAAGCUGGCCUAAGCAGAAACAUUGCUGGAUGCCUGGCAGGAUCCAUUAUCUUUUCCUUAUACUUGACAAUUGUGAAUUAUAUUAUCCAAAAGCCUCUGCUUUAUUAUCGAGUUUCAAAAGGAACAAGAUUCCACAUUUUAUUAGCAACAAUUCCUGACAGGCAAAUCUAUUCAUUGGCGCUUUGGCGAGCUUUCUAUCAGAGCCAUCCAAAGAAUAAACAAAAGAAGCACUAAGAAAAGAGUGCUUAAAAGACGCAGAUUUGAUUCGUUAGAGAUAG